GGCAGCUUCCUUCUACCCAGUCACCUGAGGGGAGCAGUCUCCGCAUUCCCAUUUCUGCCAGUUUCAUACAGAACAGAUUCAGUGGUAAUACACUAGUUGUCACACUCUUGAGCUCCUCUCUCAGUAAAAUAUUUGCAGUUCUCUGCUCAGAGCCUCAGGCUGACUGGGCUGGAAUACAUGCUGCUUGUAGGGCUAAUGAGAAAAUUCCCACCAGAGUGCCUCGGAAUCACCUGGAAGGCUUGUUAAAACACAGGUUGCAGAAAUUCCUUCCUCUCUGACUGCUUGGGAACUGAAACAUCAGCUUUCCCCUGUCUUUGGACUUAAACGGAAACAUUGGCUCUUCCUGGGUCAUGAGCCUGCCAAUCUUUGGACAGGAACUCCAUCAUCAGCUCUCCUGGGUCUCUAGCUUGCUGACUCACUCUGCAGAUCUUGGGACUUGUUGGUCUCUGUAAUGACAUGAGCCAAUGUAAUAAAUCUCUUUCGAUAUGUAUAAACAGCCUAUUACCUCUGCUUCUCUGGAGAGCCCUGACUAAAACAGAUUUUCUGAUUCAGUAGGUCUGGGGC
ensembl:lncRNA